AGAGACGGCGGUGGGCUCCAUGUGGGCAGUAUCGAGAGGGCCCACCUCCGCGGCCGAUGCUUAUUUUUUGUGAGACAAAAGAAAAGGAAGGCCCUGCUGUGAGAGACUGCGUACACGAGCGGUUCUCUCUCCUCCAUCUUUUUCCACUUUCCGAGAUCUAUCCAUCGCCUCCAAGCCAUGGCCGGCGGCUCCCCGCCGAAUCUCUCCCUCAUCGAUCCAGGUUCAUGCCCAUGGCUAAUUCCGUUCGCCGCAUCGGAAAGCUCCCACCUUUCGCCGUGAUCCGGUGAGCACGGUCUUCGGAAACAGGAUGGGCGUACAUGCGAUCGAUCUGGAUGCUGUUCCCUGAUUAUGACCGAUCUGGACGCCGUGUUCCCCCAUAUGCCCUGGCUCUGGCCGUUGUUUCUCAUCCGAUCUGAAUCUUGGACGACGCCAUCUUCAUCCGAUAGAUGAACGCAAGGCGGAAAGGCUCGAUCUUUAUGCAUCUCAACUGUCUCUUAUGUAGUUUAUGGCUCAAUCGCUCCCAGAUCAGGAGAACCAAGUUGAAGGGUUGGAUAAUCUUAGGGUCUUGAAGUUUAGGACACUUCACUAAAAAGCUCAGUACCUGCAGUUCCAAGAAAGUAAACUGCAACAGGCCGCCGAGCAACAGUAGUGUUUCCCAGUUAUAUAUGUAAAACUAGCUCUCAAAGAUCCAGUAAUGGUUGCAAUGACCGCAGCAUGUGCACCAGCACUAUCAGGUGAGAACAUUGGUCUAAGUACACUUAUGUACCUAACAUUCUGUUAGUCCCUUGUGUGAUGUUGUUUGCAAGAAAAUUGUUUGUAGCUGUGGAAUCGGUCAACAGCAUUAAAAAUCAAGAUUACAGCGAUGCUACCUCAUUUGCAGCGAUUAAUUCCCCCAUGCUUCUAAUUGAUGACUUCAGUACUCCAAAACAGAAACAAUCAUUCUCUACACUGCUCACAACCCGCAAUACCGGUUGAAUGUGCAUGGCAUCUGUCUAAUAGUAGUUGAAUUUUAGUUUGCUUCAAAAUAUAUUACUAACAUGUGACAGAAAGUGAGAUCUCAUAAGUAAAUAACAUGUAGUAUUUUACAGAUCAAUAAGGUAUUAUGUUUGUGACACAAGGUCGAUGGUAUUAAACUUCCAAUUUGUCCUGCAGGGUUCUCUGUAUAAGCCCCAGUGUAAUAGCUUGUAAUAAUAUGCAUCUGCAAGGCAGUCAUAAAACUCCCUUUAAAUUGCCUGAUGCCACUUGUUUGUCUUUCUCAUUUAUGCUUUCAACUAAUCCUUGAAAUUGUAAUACAUUGAUCGUAGGUCUAUGCAUGCCCGUGUAAGCUUUAACCCUGUGUGAAUCUGUAGCCUACAUUCCUAUUUUUCUCAAGGUAACCCAGAUUUACUUUUUGCAUGCCCAAUAUGUUUGUAUCCAUGUCCAAUAAUUGUCCUUUUUAGACGGGUAAAGUCAAAUUUAUAAUUGUAACCUUGGGUCAUAAUCUCUAACCUUCACCACUAUGAAACCUUUAUGAGCUGGUUUUUAUGCAAGCAGCUAAGGUCCAUUCAAUGGUAUGAACAUGAAUGUUUGUCAGUUGUUAGAUUUUUUUUUUGAGUUAGAACAUAUGCGUCUUAUACUGAUCUCUUGCGAAAAAUGAGUUCUAUGUUGUACUCUCUGUUAGAUUUAUCCUGCUAUCACAUGCCAUUUUUAUUUGAUUUGAAAACUCCCAUGUAGAAGCUGGAAUGUCAGCAUCGACCUCAUGCGUACUCGGAAUUUUAUCUUAAGUUUGACAUCUAGGUUAUGUAUCCUUGGUUGGAGCGGUGAAUGAGGUUGGACAUAAUGAAUGUCUCUCUCCUCAAGAUAUGGUAUUUGGUAUAUGUUUCUAACUGACACCUACUCCCUCCGUUCCAAAAUAGAUGACCCAACUUUGUACUAAAGUUAGUACAAAAUUGAGUCAUCUUUUUUGGAACGGAGGGAGUACUUAUUUGGUGUUCUUAGCUAGGUACAUUGAACUGAUCAAGUGUAUCAGAGUCCAUGGAGGUAAAAAACUCCCAUGUAGAAGCUGGAAUGCAAGUGGAUGAAGCUCGAUUAACAGGAAGCACUAAAACAGGACACAAAAUUAUACUCCCUCCCCAAAAUGUAAGGCGCCGAUUGACUUUUCUGGUCUUUGUUACACAACUUCUAUGAUUUUCAUGUGGUAUAUGUCUACAGAAUUAAUAUACAGACAUAUGAAAAAACAAAUGUGACGAUGCCAUUUAUACAUGUAAUGCACUUGGUAUAUAUUAGUGGUCAAAGUCGUGCAUCAAAGACCAUGUAAAGUCAAUUGCGCCUUAUAUUUUGGGAAGGAGGGAGUACUCGUAGAUCGUUUCUGUCAUGUACUAUCAAGAUGCCUGUUGGACGGUGAUAGUUUCAGUUCUUUACACCCGGUCCUGCUGGCCAUGUACUAAAAGCGAUCUAUGUAUACCUCGUGUUAUAUUCUCGUAUACUCAAAUGCUUGAUGAGCGGUGAUAGUUCCACUCCUCAAUUUGCUCAUGCACUUAGAUACUUCUAGUUGGACAUGUAUAUGUAGUUCUGCUUGAUAUGGGAUGGCUUAGUUCUCUCAUGUGCUAAACAAUUUGUGAUAUAUAUUAACGUUUUCUUAGCAGUAACCAAGA